UACGUAGGGUGCAAGCGUUAAUCGGAAUUACUGGGCGUAAAGCGUGCGCAGGCGGUUCGCUAAGACCGAUGUGAAAUCCCCGGGCUUAACCUGGGAACUGCAUUGGUGACUGGCGGGCUAGAGUAUGGCAGAGGGGGGUAGAAUUCCACGUGUAGCAGUGAAAUGCGUAGAGAUGUGGAGGAAUACCGAUGGCGAAAGCAGCCCCCUGGGCCAAUACUGACGCUCAUGACACGGAAAGCAGUGG
rnacentral:rRNA from 1 species